GUUGGGUAUAAAAUGCAAAAUCACUUAAUGCGACACUAGUGAAUUAGAACUGACACUCCAUUGCAUAUCUCCAGCGCUUGCAGAUUUUUUGGGAAUUACAAUGUCUCGCAUUGCUCUUCUGUGUUUAGGAAUGUGCUUGAUCCAAUUGACCUUGGCUGAACCGUGUGGACCAAAUGCCGAGUAUAAGGAGCACAUCCAUUGUGAACCUUUUUGUGGGCAACCAAAGCAUCCAAAGGAAUGGACGUGCACCACCGCUCCAACUAUCAGCUGCAUCUGUAAAAAAGGAUAUGUGAGAGAUAGAAGGGUCACUCAAGAAUGUAUGAGGCAAGAACACUGUCCGAUUUAGCACUUCAAAUGUACCGUUCCUUUUAUGUAGGUAAUCGAAAUAUUUUAAUAAACAAAUAAUUCUGAAGAAUCAA